rnacentral:rRNA from 1 species
GACGAACGCUGGCGGCGUGCCUAAUACAUGCAAGUCGAACGCAGUGGGGACGGGUGAGUAACACGUGGGUAACCUCCCCUCAGAGGGGAUAACACUUGGAAACAGGUGCUAAACCGCUACUGAUGGAUGGACCCGCGGUGCAUUAGCUAGUUGGUGAGGUAACGGCCCACCCAGGCCACGAUGCAUAGUCGACCUGAGAGGGUGAUCAGCCACACUGAGACUGAGACACGGCCCAGACUACUACGGGAGGCAGCAGUAGGUAAUCUUCGGCAAUGGACGAAAGUCUGAGCGAGCAACGCCGGGUGAGUGAAGAAGGUUUACGGAUCGUAAAACUCUGUUGUUAGAGAAGCGGUAUCUAAACAGAAAGCAACGGCUAACUCCGUGCCAGCAGCCGCGGUAAUAC